GGUUUUUGCUUCAGACCUUAGCACUGCGACUCCUGGCCCAUCUUUUGGCUGACUUCGGUCGUCUUCUGGGCUGAACCGCUCGAAUCGCUGGUAGCCCCAGACCUUCGGAACCUGCUCCAUCUUCUCCAAGGACCAGUCUCACUUAAGUAUGCAAAGCUCCAGAGCUCCAAACAGACUACUGCUACAAACUACUUUUGUAAAUCUGUCCGAGCACUAUACACAAAUGCUAAUUCCUUAAACAAACUUAAAUAUGACUUCCCCCUAGUUUUCAGUUAUCUCUGGGUGUUCAUUAAGGUUGCUCUGUUUAUCCCCAUUUGUUUUUUCUUACAGCCCAACUCCGGUCAUUCUUGAGAGUGAGACAAAUUACAAAAAGUCAGGUAACAGAUGAUUCCGCUUUCUCUGAAAAAUUCAGAUCACAUACGUUGCUAUAAAACUAAUUCAAAUGUUCUUUGCAGCAUCAGGAGUAAAAUUAAAUAGAAAAAACAAUGAGCUGCUGCCCAUACCUCUGUGUCAACAUACAAUUUCAUAAUAAUCCUGUAAAUUCACAAUCAAAAUUAUAGGAAAAAAAAGUUGCAACCUAAAAUCAAUUUGGAACUUUAUCCCGAAUAAUAGUUUCUCUAACCUUGUCGGUCUAUCUCUCCUCUUUAAACACAUAGAAAAAUUAUCUAUUAAAUUAGCCAAAUUCUACAAACAAAUGCUUGACCACUUAUUUCUAAACACUGCUUCUUUCCACAUACAUAUUUAAUCUGACACAACUAUGAUAUUGUGUUCCACAUUUAAUAUUCUUUACAAAAUGGUUUAAAUAAAGUUUAAAAAAAAACAAAAAACUGAACUUUAGAAUUCUCUGAUGUUAGUGGUCUGUGAUGUCACAGUGUGAUGUCAUAAUGCCUCAUCAAGACAUCAAAGCGUGAUGUCAUAGUGAUGUCAUCAAAGAGAAUGAUUCUUUCAAGCUGUCGUAGUAAUUACGUUCUCCUACGUUAUAUUAUUACUUAUCAUACCCACACAGUCGAAGAGGAUAGACCGUUCACAGUCUGAUAUUAGUUUAGAUUUUUCGCGCCAACGGAAAGACUCCAAAAUGAGUGUCCAGAAUUUGUAUGUGUACGGCUUAAAAAGCCUGACUGAGUGUGUUUCCAGAGCAGUACUCAUUGCACAGCCAAUCAACACCACUGAGUUUGUACGACAGCAUAUGUUGGGACUCAAUGACUAUUACAAGUGUCACCCUGAAACUGAUCCCAAGAGAGUUGUCUUUGACUACCAGGAGCAAUUUGGUAAGUAACUGUCAAAAUAUUCAUUAUAUCAUGGUUUUUAAGUACUCCUACAUUUUUCAUGUUUAAGUUAGUACAGUGGUUCUCGACCGAUCUUUCUUUGUAAGAAAGUAAUCCAGUGUAAUGAUGAUAGCUCAUCUUAAUGCAGGACUUACUUAAAUCUAGUGGUUAAUUUUGGUCAUCUAAAUAAGAACUAUAAGUUAGUCAGCAAGCUUAUUGUAAUUGUUUAGAAAAGUAUGCAUUGUGUAUUCACAUCACAUCUUUUAUCUUUUUUUUUUUUUUUAGAGACUCAGUUCCUGAGAAGAGGGACGGGAAGUAGAGGGACACAGGCUUCCAUUACAUCCCAUGAGGUAGAGAAGGAACUGAAGAUACCACCUGCCACUGGAAAAGACACUGAGUCUCCCCCACCUCUUCGGGAAGCCAGUAUUGGGACAGUCAAGGCUCCCGGACAACAGCAGAGUGGAAGAACCAGAAAAAACAAUAUCCAGCAGAAAAAGGGGAAGAAAAAUAUUAAGCACAAAACUUUAUCUGAUGAGCCUCAAGUACCAAGACCUCCUUGGGAAGAGAUCAGAGGAACACCACUACCCCAUAGAAUUGGAGACGGUAGGCGUAAAGCAGUAGUACAAGGGAGUACUAGCACAGGACAUACUGAGCCAAUGGUUUUCAUCAAUUUUACUGAUCAACCUGUUUGUUCCCAUAAUCUUCCCCUUGUUCCUGUUCGUACUAUUAUUAGAUACAAACGUAAAAUAGUACCUACACCCAAGGAUCAGUAGCAUGUCGCCUCACAGCAAGAACGUCCAGGGUUUAAAUCCGGCUCUGGGCGUUUCGAUGUGGAGAUUGCAUGUUCUCCUUGUGUCUGCAUGGGUUUACUCCGGGUGCUCCGGUUUCCUCCCACAUCCCAAAAACAUGACAAAAAAAAAAAAAACUACCUCAGUAACUCCGCCAAAUUGUAUCCAAUGGGUCAUUUUUGCCGGUCCCAAGCCCGGAUAAAGGAGGAGGGUUGGUAUUGUGACAAUUAAGAAACAAGAACAAUAAAAGAACGUUCAUUUGCACUUCUUAACACGAGGGGUGUUUUUCACCCAUUUUUUCGCUUUCUUUCCCACAACGUUGUUUUCCCUAUUAUGCAAAUUAGGUGAUGACAUCAUUUAGCAACUUCUAGCGACUUUUAGGACAGCCAAGAGCUACAUUCAUUCCUGAGGAGUUGGCAACACUGCACACACACACACGUACAGAGCAAUACACAAACAACAACAAAAACAACAACAACAACAGUCAACUCUGGUUAAAAAAUAAGCAAAGAGGAACACCACAAACCAAGUACCAUUGCGUUUAAGAUUUUUUUCAUAUAAGAGUCAAAAUGCAGAAUAACAAAAAUUUAGUAAAAAAAAAAUAAUGUACACAAAAAUCACAGCUGUUUCAAAAAAAACAAAAACAACUCUGGCCCGAACUACACGAAGGCGGAUAUAUUUCAAACCGCAUAUAUUUAUGUCCGAUUAGGCCUCCCUACCACACCAAACCGGGAGUUUGGAGCACUCAAACCAGAUAAAUCUGAAUCCGGAAAAACAAACGGAUAAAUAAAAAAAAUUCCGUAGUGGAUUCGUGUGGUCUGACUUUUACGGAUCGAUGACGUCAAACCGCAGCUCGCGCAUGCGCAUUAAAAACAAAAACAAUAACAACAACGAUGGCGGACAUACAGGGUAUUCUUUACGUUUGUUUUGCCCUUUUGGGGCUAAUUUCAGCCUUGCAAGUGAACCUUAUUUUAUACAAUUACAUCCACCAGUCAUUUUUUUUAAAGGGCACCAGAUAUGAUUGAGUUUGAAGCCUGCGUGUGGACGCAGAUAUUUUUUUGAACUAACGUGUGGACAGGUACAUUUAUUUAGACGGGAGUACAAAAAUAUCCAGAUAAAUAAAUAUCUGCCUUCAUGUAGUUCGGGCCUCUGUUCUUUAAAGGGGACCUGCCACCAAAAUUUCAUACCCAUUUUUAUCAUUUUUUCAUAAUCCUUGAUGUCCUCUGAUCAUGUUUGCAACAUAAUUUUAGCUGAAAAGUUAUUUGAUGGUUUGUUUUAGUAUGCCUAAAAAACCUUACAGGAAAAUCAACUGGUUUUGGCUCAUUAACAUUUAUGGUAAUGAGCUUUGCUCUGAUUGGAUCGCUGCUGUGAAGCCUGCUGUGCUCUGAUUGGCUCAGCAGUGGAAGUUCGGAUUUCGGUUUAUCCACUGUUAUUAUGCUAAUGCUAAUAGCAUAUGCUAAUGUGUGCUAAAGUAAGGUGCCCAGAUGUCUGUAAUGAUAUCCGGGGAUAUUCGAUGCGGCGGCGGCGGCGGUGCAGGGGCUGCAGGGGCUGUGUGAUCACAGACAAAGUCUCGGUACUAUUUAGUAGCAGCGCAUGCCCCUUGGAAUAACCCCCGUAAGAACUGUUGUUAAGGACUGCUAACUUGUGCUUCCUAUCUAUUCGGCUGCUGUAAUAACCAUUGUUCGAGCCCACACGCAACAUUUUUGCUCUCAUUCAUGAAACGCUUAAAUCGGGGACAUUUUCGGGGACAGCUUUUGCCGGGGACAGGUCAUCCAAUACGGGGACUGUCCCCGGAAAUCGGGGACGUCUGGUCACCUUAUGCUAAAGUCUAAAAACGGCAGGUAUUAAACCAUAUAUUUUAGACCCCGAGUCCGAAGAGGAGGUGGAAGUUGAGGAAGAAGCCGGAGAUCUCAAGCGGUGUUUUCUCAUUCAUUCUGCCCAGCUUUAAGUUCAUUUUCCCUGGCAGUGAACCGAAGGAAACACCGGUCGUUUGGAAGAGACCCAUAGCGGAUACAGUGGUAGCUGGGUCUCGCUCUGGCUGUGACUGAGUACGAGAACGAGAGAGUGGGCACGGCUCACCGAGGACGCGCUCGUGAAUAAUAAUGAGCAACGUCGGCGCAACGUAACACCGACCUGCUUUUUCAAUUGGCCUGGUUUACUCGUUCCUUUAUUUUAAACCUUUACAGAAUGCAAACGACGUAAUGGUUUGUUUUCGCAUUUACAACAUAAGACGAACAUAAUAUGGACCUUAUCUGACACAAAAAAACCCCAAAAUUACAUUUUUAUGGCAGGUCCCCUUUAAAUGUCCUUGAUCUAUAUCGGUGUAUUAAUGCAAUUCAUUGAAAAUUAAAUUUAGUAUUUUUAACCAUUAGAUGGUUAUAAUGUCAUUGAAUAAUCUGAAUGUUGCAUAUAGAAUCCAUUACUACUCAUUAUGAAGUUCAUUCACGUUUACUUUUUUGUUGUUUACAGUUUCUAUGUGUGACUAUCUUCUUCAAUUAGAUCAAAAAUUUAGGGUCCUGAAUUGCACCGAUGACCUCUCCUUUCUCUCUCUCCUCACACACACACCUCAGAGACACUCACAGUGUGAAGGAGAUAAAACCAGUAAAGUUGGGGUUGCUAAGCCUCUUCAUGCUCUUUUGUGUUCCUCUUUGUCUCCGCUUGUUUUCUCUUAGCUCUUAAGGUCCUUACACGCCGAGAACGACGCAAAUAUACGACGCGAAAUUACAAAAUACUGGGAGGUGAAUUUUGACGCGCCUGACUAUACACAUCAAGCGCAAUGUGAUUUUGCGACUUUCCAGUGGGAAAAAAAGACGCGCCCCGGGUGGAAGCUAGAAGACAAAAAUGGAGUCUACUUAAACUUCAAGUGAUGGUGAACUGGUACUGCUAUUAAAAAUUAUAAGAGCUACCAGUACCAGAUAAGCACAAUAAACUAUAAUCCAUAAACGUAAGGUAACAACCGAGACCUAAUGGUGCUGUGACAGCAACGCGGUUGAUCUUGAGACAGUAAAAAUGCGUAUGGUAUGUUGUUUCUGAACAGGUUAGCUUACAAGCUUAAGUUACUUAGCACAGAUGAAAGUUAAAACAAAGACGUUUAGCAAACUGUUAAAGCACACAAUCGUCAUAUGAGAAAUCCGAUGCUAUGACUCUUCACAAGUUGUCCUUCAGGUUGUUAUCUUUUCAAUAUUUGUGUUUUUUAUCAAAUAGCACUCUGUUCUCCGACACGUAAACCAUCAGCCAGCUGGCCAUGUUGGAUAUACCGGUGAAUCUGACGUCACAACAACAUGAAAUCUGAUUGUCAGAAGUGGACACUCAGUAUGCAAAACUUAACUUAACUUAAGAAAAUUUAACUGUGAUACGAAAACAUAAAUGCUGCAGUAUUGCAGGAUAGGAUUUGAAUGUCGCUAAUGUGAACGCUUGUAAUGACAGGAUACAGGAUCAAAAAAAAAAAAUUGACGUCCAAAAUAAUCGCACAAAGAAAACGCUCCCGCUGUGUAAGGACCUUUACUCUUACUACUUAGUUGUACUUUUUCUUAGACUGCUAGACUUCUCCUUUUUUCGCCACGUGUUCAUUCACACUGAUUUUACUUAAACAUCAUCGUAGUUCAAGUUUUAAAACUUCAACUUUUUUGUGCACAUAGCAAUCCAAGAUUAAGUCUUUAAUUGGUUUUUCUUUAAGUUUAAGUUAAGUGACGAACAUUGAAUGGGGUCAAAUUGACCCCAAGGAUAAUAAGAGGGUUAAAGAUUAAAAUGUGAUUGUUAUUGUUGUUAUUAAUAAAAUGGUUAUUAUUCACAAUAGUCUUAUGGCACAAAAGACGUCAUGUCCUUUUGAGAAAGUGACUGGGGCAAAGAGUUAUGGGGGGCACAUGGACCUAAGAGAUCAGCAGGGGUCACUAUUCUGAUUCUGGUCACAGAUUUUUAAGUUUGCAAAGUGAUUUUAAAAUAGUUUUGACUAGCCAUCGAGCCUCUUUUUCUGAGACACCCAGCAGAUCCAAAGUCAUCCUCUGUGCCAGAGUUUUGAGUUAGACCAAAGGAGCAUCCAAAGGAUUCACAAGGCUAUGGUUUUUGCUUCAGACCUUAGCACUGCGACUCCUGGCCCAUCUUUUGGCUGACUUCGGUCGUCUUCUGGGCUGAACCGCUGGAAUCGCUGGUAGCCCCAGACCUUUGGAACCUGCUCCAUCUUCUCCAAGGACCAGUCUCACUUAAGUAUGCAAACCUCCAGAGCUCCAAACAGACUACUGCUACAAACUACUUUUGUAAAUCUGCCCGAGCACCAUAAACAAAUGCUAAUUCCUUAAACAAACUUAAAUAUGACUUCACCCUAGUUUUCAGUUAUCUCUGGGUGUUCGUUAAGGUUGCUCUGUUUAUCCCCAUUUGUCUUUGCUUACAGCCCAACUCCGGUCAUUCUUGAGAGUGAUAUUUAAGACUUUUUUUUUGCCGGCAGACAAAUUACAAAAAGUCAGGUAACAGAUGAUUCCGCUUUCUCUGAAAAAUUCAGAUCACAUACGUUGCUAUAAAACUAAUUCAA